GUGGGUAGUUUGACUGGGGCGGUCUCCUCCCAAAGCGUAACGGAGGAGCACGAAGGUUAGCUAAUCCUGGUCGGACAUCAGGAGGUUAGUGCAAUGGCAUAAGCUAGCUUGACUGCGAGCGUGACGGCGCGAGCAGGUGCGAAAGCAGGUCAUAGUGAUCCGGUGGUUCUGAAUGGAAGGGCCAUCGCUCAACGGAUAAAAGGUACUCCGGGGAUAACAGGCUGAUACCGCCCAAGAGUUCAUAUCGACGGCGGUGUUUGGCACCUCGAUGUCGGCUCAUCACAUCCUGGGGCUGAAGUAGGUCCCAAGGGUAUGGCUGUUCGCCAUUUAAAGUGGUACGCGAGCUGGGUUUAGAACGUCGUGAGACAGUUCGGUCCCUAUCUGCCGUGGGCGCUGGAGAAUUGAGGGGGGCUGCUCCUAGUACGAGAGGACCGGAGUGGACGCAUCACUGGUGUUCGGGUUGUCAUGCCAAUGGCACUGCCCGGUAGCUAAAUGCGGAAGAGAUAAGUGCUGAAAGCA
rnacentral:rRNA from 1 species